rnacentral:rRNA from 1 species
AGAGUUUGAUCCUGGCUCAGGAUGAACGCUGGCGGCGUGCCUAACACAUGCAAGUCGAACGGAUCCAUAUUGAAACCUAGUGAUGUAUGGAUUAGUGGCGGACGGGUGAGUAACGCGUGGAUAACCUGCCGUAUACAGGGGGAUAACACUUAGAAAUAGGUGCUAAUACCGCAUAAGCGCACGGUUCCGCAUGGAACAGUGUGAAAAACUUCGGUGGUAUACGAUGGAUCCGCGUCUGAUUAGCCAGUUGGCGGGGUAACGGCCCACCAAAGCGACGAUCAGUAGCCGGCCUGAGAGGGUGAACGGCCACAUUGGGACUGAGACACGGCCCAAACUCCUACGGGAGGCAGCAGUGGGGAAUAUUGCACAAUGGGGGAAACCCUGAUGCAGCGACGCCGCGUGAGUGAAGAAGUAUCUCGGUACGUAAAGCUCUAUCAGCAGGGAAGAAAAUGACGGUACCUGAUUAAGAAGCCCCGGCUAACUACGUG